rnacentral:rRNA from 1 species
UUACGGGAGGCAGCAGUAAGGAAUAUUGCGCAAUGGGCGACAGCCUGACGCAGCGACGCCGCGUGGGGGAUGAAGGUCUUCGGAUUGUAAACCCCUUUCGGGAGGGAAGAGGGAAUGGGGUAACCCAUUCGGACGGUACCUCCAGAAGCAGCCACGGCUAACUUCGUGCCAGCAGCCGCGGUAAUACGAAGGUGGCAAGCGUUGUUCGGAUUCACUGGGCGUACAGGGAGCGUAGGCGGUUGGGUAAGCCCUCCGUGAAAUCUCCGGGCCUAACCCGGAAAGUGCAGAGGGGACUGCUCGGCUUGAGGACGGGAGAGGAGCGCGGAAUUCCCGGUGUAGCGGUGAAAUGCGUAGAGAUCGGGAGGAAGGCCGGUGGCGAAGGCGGCGCUCUGGAACGUUUCUGACGCUGAGGCUCGAAAGCGUGGGGAGCAAACAGGAUUAGAAACCCCAGUAGUCCC